UCCGCUGGCGGAGGCAAGGUUCUCUCCCGCCCCUCCUCCUCCCUUUCCCAUCCCUCCGAGUGGAGCUGCACAUGCGGCUUCUCACUGCUCGGUCCCGCCCAGCUUCGGUCGCGCAGGAACGGGUCCCUGCAGCCCCCAGCCCAUGGCAGGACAGUAGCCGCCUGUCAGGGGUCCUGAGCGGCUGAGGCAGACGCGGCGUCUCUCGGGCCUCAGAGAGUGGGAGUCUCCGGAGGCCAUGGGCUACCCCAAGGUAGAGCGCAAGGAGCCCCUGCCUGCGGCAGCUCCGAGGGAGCGGGGGAGCCAGGGCUGCGGCUGUCGCGCGGCCCCUGCCCGGGCAGGCGAAGGAAACAGCUGCCGGCUCUUCCUAGGCUUCUUUGGCCUCUCGCUGGCCCUCCACCUGCUGACAUUGUGCUGCUACCUAGAGUUGCGCUCCGAGUUGCGGCGGGAACGGGGAGCCGAGACCCGCCUCGGCGGCCCCGGCACCCCUGGCACCUCUGGCACCCUGAGCAGCCCCGUUGACCUCGACCCUGACGGUCCCAUCUCCCGCCACUUUGGGCUGCCGUCACUUCAGCAGCCGCCGCUAGAACCCGGAGAAACCACUCUCCCACCAGACUCCCAGGACGGGCACCAGGUGAGUCACUUGGCUGGGGCGGCGGCGGCAGAGGCGGUAGGACAGGGGCCCUCCCCAACCGGGCCCGGGGGCGACUCAGCCACUUCGAGCCACGUUGGAGGGCAGGACCCGGGAGGGGGCAGGCGAGCCCGACGGAGAGAGGUUGCCCUGAGGCAGGUUGUACUCGGUCCCGGCCCAACUCACCCAGACUCCCUCAGGACCCCAGACUUGGGAGCUCUGGCCCGCGUCCACCGCCCCCGGCUACGGCUGCCUCUGGGAAAGUUGGCUACGCUCCCGGCUGGGCCGCGGCGCCGAGGUGCGGGCGCUGCCCCUCUGGCGGACUAA